GAGUGUACGGUCGUGGCUCGUGACCCAAGGGUUAAGUAAACGAACGCUCGCGUGAUUUCUCUGCACACUCGAUUCGAACGCUCCAAUUUUUCGCGAACUCGCGACGCUACGUAUCGAGGGAAAUCAUGGAAAUUGCGGUAAUUCCCGGUAAUCAGUGCCGUAGACGCGUUGCGCAAACGCCCCUUCUUCGCGCGUUUCACAGCGAGUUGCACACGGCAGUCUAUCAGACCGAGAUUCCACGUUUCUCGUCUCCAGCCUACGAAAAUGCGAAUCCUCACGCACUGUCCUGAUUUCGUUCAAUUGACAAUGAUCUCGUUCCCUUGGCCAACCACGAUCCGUUCGUCCAUCGGUUAAAAGAACCGACUGAUUCUUCUUAUCGUCGUGAUUUGAUAGCUCGCAUCGAUCGUGCAAUUUGUACGCCGUGGAGGGAGUUUGAGGCGAAGGUAAACGUCCCGUGAUACAAAGAUCGUGAGCUUAAUAUUUUUCCUUUCAAAUGUCGCUUUAUUUCUCAUUUUAUUUGAUAAUAAAUUGUCUACAAUUUGUCCUAGGUUAGUACGUCUUGGAGUUCUCGUGGGGAGAGGUUCGCGAGAAAGCACAGGUCGAUCAAUAAAACGGUGAAAAAUGUAGGUGAAUAGCGAGAGCACUCGCGAAGCUGAUAGAACGAAAACGCGUCUCUGCUUUUUAUCUCACACACUCUCCAUCUCUCUCUCUCUCUCUUUCUCUCUCUCUCUCUCUCUCUCUGCUUCGAUUUCGUGUCGCGCGUACAGAGGACGAAAAAGUGACGAUAUGAGCGAAAGUAGCGAAGACAGAGGGUACGAAAGAUGAUUCGAUCACGGAAGAAGAAAGUUGCUGGCAAAUAAAAGCUCGAAAAUAUCGUUUUGCUCUCGAUCGAACGGAUUUUUCUUAGAAAUAGUUGCUUGUACUUUGCAGACACUUCGAAUAGUUUCGCCUCUUCACGAUUUACGUAUCAUCGUCGACCGAAUAUUGCCAAUUUUUAACGAACGAACGAAACUGAUCCCCGUUCAGAGACAGUACCCGAGAGCCAUUUAAAUAAGUGUCAAUUAACACCGGAACAACUAUUGUAAAACCGUCGAAAUAACGAAUUGCUUUCGAAGAGGAAAAAAGACGAUCACGUGCGCCGAUUGAUUUUUCAUCGAAACGUUAAAAUUCUGUGUAUAUUGUACUGAAAUAUACCGGAAACGAUGGAUCGUAGCGUUAAGAAAUCGAAGAGGUUUUAGUGAUCGAGUCCCUUCGUCCUUUGCUAUAGCCCGUCCUUUGCGCGCGACUGCUUCGACUCCUCUUUACUCGACACCUCGAAGCAAUAACCAAAUUGUCUGGAACAUUUUCGUGCGAAAUAACGCGAUCCAUUUCUCGCCAACCGAGAGUUCUGCUCCGAGGGAUGUGAAUUUCACUCGCCACUCUGAGAAAUAGCCAGAUGGCUUUCAGGUACGUAAAGAGCGAAUACCUAAAUGAAUCUCUUCCGGCGGAUAAAGGUGCACGCUCGCUCAAAUUCGAAAUAAAUAUCUCGAAAAAGGUGAAUCGCGAACACAAAGAAAGCCGUGAAGAAGAAAUGGAAGAUAUUAGAAAUAGAAAAGUAGAAGAAGAAGAAGAAGAAGAAGAUGAUGAUGACGAUGAUGAUGAUGUCGAUGAAGAAGGAUAUUCAGGAACGAAAGGAACAAGACGCAAAAACGAACUGAUGAACGUUAAACACGAACAAAUUCACGAUUCAACCAUAUUAUUCACUUUUAACACGCGAUCGCGCGAAACCAUUGUCCUUUUCUUCGUUUCGUAUCGUUUCAACGUGUACUCUUCGUCUCGAUCAUCUCUGUAUACACACACGUAUAUAUAUUUAUUUAUGUAUAUAUAAUAUAUAUAUAUAUUCCUUGGUAAAAUUCUGUCUCUUUUUUUUCUCUGACUCUUUACAUGAUUUUUUUCCCGAGGCAUACGAUUGAACCUACUACGAUCAUCGAGAAUCCACGUCUCCAUUUUCCUAUCGAUUCAGCGGUCUCACUCUUUCUCGCUGCGCGUCUUGAGAUCGUUGUAUCUAACUAUGAUAUAUCUACACGUUACUUAUAUGCCUAUGUCGAUUGGUUGUUUGUUCUUUCGCGCUUGCUUUCUUCGGAUGAGGGGUCACAGGUCGCGCAGUGGGACAGAAUACCAAGAAGCGCGGAAACUAGUUUAAAGCGUCAUCUUUCUUGUACAUGAAAAUUUUUACAAACCUGUGCGAGUCACGCAUACUUUUUAAGACAUCCGCGUGCUCUCUAGUUAAAUCUUAUUUUCCGAGUUUUCGAAUAUUAAAAACUAUUGUUAUAUAAGAGGCCAAUUUUUCCGAUGAAUUCGUUAUCGAAGAAAAAAAAAAUAUCUGAAAUAUAUACGUUUAUUAUUUAAGGAGAAAUAUAAAGGAAGAACAUAGUUUUUAUUCGUUUCUUGGAAUUCUGCAUCACCAUGGGUCAAGGAGAAAACGUCGAUCCACGAAGACGAUCGAUCAACCUUUCCCUUUUUUCCAUUUUUGCCAUGUUCAUGUUUACAUCGUUAGAUUCUCUACGCGGUAGAAUCGUGAACUGUCUUCGAGUUCGACGCGAAGGGAGCGCUUUGUAUAAUUGAGAUCGAUCAAAGUACCGUUCGACGUACAAAAAAGAGAGAUUACCGACCGAUUAACGUUAUCGACGUUGAACGUUCGACGAGACACAAAGCUACCGCGUAGAUCGUGAUACGGGCUUGAUCGAGACGCGCCUUUAAUUCGAUUACUAUGAUACAACGGCAACGACCGAUCGAGAAUUACGGCGUGGCCCGAUCACGAAUGCCCCUCGUGUAUUUCUCUUCCACCUCUCGCGAUCCCACGGAUGAUUAACGGGGUAAUUAAUUUAACGAAUUAGUCGUCACCGCGUUCGUCGUUCUCGUUGAUUAAUACACUACACGCUACGUCGUUUACGAUGUACAAUAUCAAUUAAUUAUCAAAUUAUUAAUUCAAUCAUUAGAAUUACUUUAGAAUAUUGGUACUCUUUCGCGUCACCUCCAUUUUUUAUCCUCUCUUUCGCCGAUUCGUUCCCAUCACUUUCUCUCUCUCCCUUGCUCUCUCGUUCUUGAUACGAAUUUUUCUACCGGAUUCUUGUAUUCUUACAUAUUUCCUGUUGUUUAUCAUCGUAUCCUAUUUGAACGUCGAUUACGCGCGUUUCGACGAUGGACGGCGGACACGAAGACACUGGGAAAAGUUCGUAUAAACGCGUAUUCGAGUCGAUCCUUUUUCGAAUCGC